UGCCAGUGAUAAACUGGAGGAAGGUGGGGAUGACGUCAAGUCAUCAUGGCCCUUACGACCAGGGCUACACACGUGCUACAAUGGCGCAUACAAAGAGAAGCGACCUCGCGAGAGCAAGCGGACCUCAUAAAGUGCGUCGUAGUCCGGAUUGGAGUCUGCAACUCGACUCCAUGAAGUCGGAAUCGCUAGUAAUCGUGGAUCAGAAUGCCACGGUGAAUACGUUCCCGGGCCUUGUACACACCGCCCGUCACACCAUGGGAGUGGGUUGCAAAAGAAGUAGGUAGCUUAACCUUCGGGAGGGCGCUUACCACUUUGUGAUUCAUGACUGGGGUGAAGUCGUAACAAGGUAACCGUAGGGGAACCUGCGGUUGGAUCACCUCCUUACCUUAAAGAAG
rnacentral:rRNA from 1 species